UCCUGCAGCCUGAGUGCCUGUGGAGC
rnacentral:piRNA from 1 species